CAAAUAGACUGCAAAACCAAUGUGUAUUAAAUUAUUUAAAAUGGUUUAUUUUAUUCGGUCACGGCAGACUAGUGUAUUGUACACAUGGAUCAGCUUUUGAUGUGAUCUAAACCACUUGAGGCGACCAUAAUCUCGAGCAUCACAUCUAUUGUCACCAAAGUUACUAAAUAAGUCACGGAAUACCGUCACAGACAUAGAAAGAUUGUCAACGAGUGCUGUUUUUUGGGUAAAUCAUCGGCUUCGCCUCGCCAAUUAUCUGCACUAUUUCGCGUAAAGCUCAGCGCCUCGUACUUUAUCUAUGCCAUCUAAACCACCUGACCAUUAUCUCAAGCAUCGCAACUAUUGUCACCGAAGUAAGUAAGUAAGUCACGGACGACCGUCACAGACAAAGAAAAGAUUGUCAACGAGUGCUGCAAUUUUGGCGAAUUCCACGACAAACACUGAGCGAACAUUGCCCAACCUCGUUCAACACAACUUCCCUAAACUUCUCUGUCUGCAUUCAGCGCAAGCAGUUGAGUCUCAUAUACCUUUAUCUUCAUUGUCGUCGCAGUACCACGUGGCACAGAUCUGUUGCUUCAUUUAUGAACAUUAAGCCAAACAAAUUAAGACAGCCGACGAAGAUAGCUGCGGUUUACGUGGUAUUAUAAUCGAGAUCCAAGGCGACCGUUAACUGGACACACAAUGAUGAUUGUGCGUAGUAUUUACAGAGGCUGGAUUGUACUGGGAAUUGCUGUGAUAUUAUUCGUGUUGUUCUCGGGAAUUGAGACCGCUUGGGGGACAACAAUACUGUGUUUGCAACAGGACAAAGACUUUUUAAAUGCGUCACUUGCACUGUUAGGUGCUCCUCUAGCAGUGUAUUAUUUCUCUCAUUUUUCUGUGAGUAACUUUAUCUACAAGGCGCUAUCAAGAGUCGGACACUUGAGUCUACGGCAGGUGGCAGCUCUCGGAAUAUCUCUUAUGGUGCUCGGCCUGUUUCUGACAUCUUUUGCAAAUAGCGCCUACUCUGUGACUGUAUCGUAUGGCAUUAUAUCUGGAAGUGGCAACGGACUAUUUUCUUUAAGUAUGUAUUUGGUGAUAGCACGUUGGUUCCCAUGGACACACGACUACCACGUGUUUACAACA